rnacentral:rRNA from 1 species
UAAUAGAUACCCCGGUAGUCCACGCCCUAAACGAUGCUCACUAGGUGUUGGGGAAGCGAUUCCUUGGUACCGUAGCUAACGCGUGAAGUGAGCCGCCUGGGGAGUACGGCCGCAAGGUUAAAACUCAAAGGAAUUGACGGGGACCCGCACAAGCGGUGGAUGAUGUGGAUUAAUUCGAUGCAACGCGAACAACCUUACCUACCCUUGACAUGUCUGGAAGGCUGCUGAAAGGUGGCUGUGCCCGAAAGGGAACCGGAACACAGGUGCUGCAUGGCUGUCGUCAGCUCGUGUCGUGAGAUGUUGGGUUAAGUCCCGCAACGAGCGCAACCCUUGUCCCUAGUUGCUACGCAAGGGCACUCUAGGGAGACUGCCGGUGACAAACCGGAGGAAGGUGGGGAUGACGUCAAGUCCUCAUGGCCCUUAUGGGUAGGGCUUCACACGUCAUACAAUGGACGGUACAGAGGGUUGCCAACCCGGCGAGGGGGAGCCAAUCCCAGAAAGCCGUUCGUAGUCCGGAUUGCAGUCUGCAACUCGACUGCA